CCUACGGGAGGCAGCAGUGAGGAAUAUUGGUCAAUGGGCGCGAGCCUGAACCAGCCAAGUAGCGUGAAGGAUGACUGCCCUACGGGUUGUAAACUUCUUUUAUAAAGGAAUAAAGUGAGGCACGUGUGCCUUUUUGUAUGUACCUUAUGAAUAAGGAUCGGCUAACUCCGUGCCAGCAGCCGCGGUAAUACGGAGGAUCCGAGCGUUGUCCGGAUUUAUUGGGUUUAAAGGGAGCGUAGAUGGGUUGUUAAGUCAGUUGUGAAAGUUUGCGGCUCAACCGUGGAAGUGCAAUUGAUACUGGCAGCCUUGAGUACAGUUGAGGUAGGCGGAAUUCGUGGUGUAGCGGUGAAAUGCUUAGAUAUCACGAAGAACUCCGAUUGCGAAGGCAGCUUACUAAACUGCAACUGACAUUGAUGCUCGAAAGUGUGGGUAUCAAACAGGAUUAGAUACCCGAGUAGUC
rnacentral:rRNA from 1 species